rnacentral:rRNA from 1 species
ACAAUAGGUUGCGAAGCCGCGAGGCGGAGCCAAUCCAGCAAAACUUCCCUCAGUUCAGAUUGCAGGCUGCAACUCGCCUGCAUGAAGUUGGAGUUGCUAGUAAACGCAGGUCAGCCAUACUGCGUUGAAUACGUUCCCGGGCUU